UUUUAAGCAAUUAGGUGCAUCAACUCUGCUACUGAAACAGUAAUGUGAAGAUAAAUCAUAGAAAUGUUGGCUUUUAUAGUUUCUGCUGCGUCUAAGUUGUGAACUCUUGGAAUUAAGUUUUGUUAGGGUUUACUAAGUGUUGGUUCUGACAAUGGAGGUGAAGAUGAGACGGAAUGGAGCUGCCUGUAGCAAUUAACUGCAUCAAGUUUACUGUUGCAG
rnacentral:misc_RNA from 1 species